rnacentral:rRNA from 1 species
GACGAACGCUGGCGGCGUGCUUAACACAUGCAAGUCGAACGAUGAAGAAGAGAAACGCGAACUUCGGUUCAAAUUUCACUUCGGAUUAGUGGCAGACGGGUGAGUAACGCGUGAGCAACCUACCUCUUACAAAGGGAUAGCCUCGGGAAACCGUGAUUAAUACCAUAUGACACAUUCAUAAGGCAUCUUAAGAAUGUUAAAGCUACGGCGGUAAGAGAUGGGCUCGCGUCCCAUUAGCUAGUUGGUGAGGUAACGGCCCACCAAGGCGACGAUGGGUAACCGGCCUGAGAGGGUGAACGGUCACAUUGGGACUGAGACACGGUCCAAACUCCUACGGGAGGCAGCAGUGGGGAAUAUUGCACAAUGGAGGGAACUCUGAUGCAGCGACGCCGCGUGAGCGAUGAAGGAAUUCGUUUCGUAAAGCUCUGUUCUAUGGGAAGAAAAGGACUGUACCAUAGGAGAAAGCCCCGGCUAAAUACGUG